CCCAUCCAUCCCAGGGCAGCCCCUUUCCCCCACCUGCCAAGCCCAAGUGUGUGCUCCUUGCCCACCGUCGGUUUCUGGAGUCUGCGGGUGGGUGUUUAGAUAGCGCCAUCCGUUGCGGCGUUUAGAGUCCACCAACAGGUGAUGUCCUAGGGCACUUGUCUUUGCCUUUCUGGCUUCCUUCGCUUAGUAUGAGGGUCUCUCGUUCCAGCCCCGCGGCGGCAGAUGGCACUCGUUCUGCCGCUUUUUCCUGGCUGUGUGCGAUGCCAUCGCAUGGAUGUCCCCGGGCCUUCGAAGUGCACUCACCUGUCAGUGGACCUUUAGGUGGCUUCCAGAUCUUGGCUCUGCCCCGCGGCGGCAGAUGGCACUCGUUCUGCCGCUUUUUCCUGGCUGUGUGCGAUGCCAUCGCAUGGAUGUCCCCGGGCCUUCGAAGUGCACUCACCUGUCAGUGGACCUUUAGGUGGCUUCCAGAUCUUGGCUCUGGUGAGUAGUGCGGCGACAGACAGAGGGGUGCCCGGGUCUGCUUCCGGGAAAGUUUGGUCCCGGUGAAAUGGAGCUGUUUGGAGGCCGGCUUCGGUCUUUGUGUGGGCCGGCCCGUGUAGGGCUGCUUGGCUGAGACUCUGUCGAGGAGGGAGGCCUUCAGCCACCGGGGCCUCACGGGGCCUACCCGUGCGGCACCAUCACAGAGCUCUCUGUCACUGCCCCUUGUGGGGGUGAGGGAAGGGGCGUGUUGGGGGGGGGCGUGUGUGUGGGGGGGAUGGUGGGCAAGGAGCACACACUUGGGCUUGGCGGGUGGGGGGGGGGUGGGGGUGGGGGAAAGGGGCUGCCCUGGGAUGGAUGGGGAUGGGCCUCUGGGCUGCUCUGUGGAUGCCACCUGCGCUGUGUGGAAUGGAUGGGCCAGGGGAGCCGCCGGUACAGCGCGGGGAAAUGUCUGCGAGUGGGUCCCUUGACUCUGUCGAGGAGGGAGGCCUUCAGCCACCGGGGCCUCACGGGGCCUCCCGUGCGGCACCAUCACAGAGCUCUCCGUCACUGCCCUGGUGGGGGUGAGGGAA
rnacentral:lncRNA from 1 species